UACGUAGGGUGCGAGCGUUGUCCGGAAUUAUUGGGCGUAAAGAGCUUGUAGGCGGUUUUGUCGCGUCUGCUGUGAAAAUCCGGGGCUCAACCCCGGACUUGCAGUGGGUACGGGCAGACUAGAGUGUGGUAGGGGAGACUGGAAUUCCUGGUGUAGCGGUGAAAUGCGCAGAUAUCAGGAGGAACACCGAUGGCGAAAGCGGCUCACUGGACCUGAUCUGACACUGAGGUGCGAAAGCUAGGGUAGCAAACGGG
rnacentral:rRNA from 1 species